AUCAGUCUGAAGAAGGGUCGUAGAUAGAUAGAUAAAUACUUUAUUAAUCCCCUCAGGGAAAUUCAGAUGUCCAGUAUCCAACACAGUCAGAACCUAAAGCAGACAAUACAUAAAUUACGG